rnacentral:rRNA from 1 species
GAUGAACGCUGGCGGCGUGCCUAAUACAUGCAAGUCGAGCGAACAGACGAGGAGCUUGCUCCUCUGACGUUAUCGGCGGACGGGUGAGUAACACGUGGAUAACCUACCUAUAAGACUGGGAUAACUUCGGGAAACCGGAGCUAAUACCGGAUAAUAUAUUGAACCGCAUGGUUCAAUAGUUAAAGACGGUUUUGCUGUCACUUAUAGAUGGAUCCGCGCCGCAUUAGCUAGUUGUUAAGGUAACGGCUUACCAAGGCAACGAUGCGUAGCCGACCUGAGAGGGUGAUCGGCCACACCGGAACUGAGACACGGUCAAGACUCCUACGGGAGGCAGCAGUAGGGAAUCUUCCGCAAAGGGCGAAAGCCUGACGGAGCAACGGCGCGUGAGUGAUGAAGGUCUUCGGAUCGUAAAACUCUGUUAUUAGGGAAGAACAAAUGUGUAAGUAACUAUGCACGUCUUGACGGUACCUAAUCAGAAAGCAACGGCUAACUACGUG